rnacentral:rRNA from 1 species
ACGGAAGGCAGCAGUAGGGAAUAUUGCACAAUGGGGGAAACCCUGAUGUAGCAACGCCACGUGUGGGAAGAAGCAUUUCGGUGUGUAAACCACUGUCGUGAGGGAAUAAAGCUGGAGUUGUCCAGUUGAAUGUACCUCGAAAGGAAGCACCGGCAAACUUCGUGCCAGCAGCCGCGGUAAUACGAGGGGUGCAAGCGUUGUUCGGAAUCACUGGGCGUAAAGGGAGCGCAGGCGGAAGUGCAAGCGGUCUGUACAAUACCGGGGCCCAACCCCGGACCUGCAGACCGGACUGCAUUUCUUGGAUAGUUCAGGGGCAAGCGGAAUUCCUGGUGUAGCGGUGGAAUGCGUAGAGAUCAGGAAGAACACCGAUGGCGAAGGCGGCUUGCUGGGGACUUAUCGACGCUCAUGCUCGAAAGUGCGGGUAGCAAACAGGAUUAGAUACCCUGGUA